GAUGAACGCUGGCGGCGUGCUUAACACAUGCAAGUCGAACGGAAAGGCUCCUGCUUGCAGGGGUACUCGAGUGGCGAACGGGUGAGUAACACGUGGGUGAUCUGCCCUGCACUUCGGGAUAAGUCUGGGAAACUGGGUCUAAUACCGGAUAGGACCACAUUUUGGAUGGUGUGGUGGAAAGUUUUUCGGUGUGGGAUGAGCUCGCGGCCUAUCAGCUUGUUGGUGGGGUAAUGGCCUACCAAGGCGUCGACGGGUAGCCGGCCUGAGAGGGUGUACGGCCACAUUGGGACUGAGAUACGGCCCAGACUCCUACGGGAGGCAGCAGUGGGGAAUAUUGCACAAUGGGCGCAAGCCUGAUGCAGCGACGCCGCGUGGGGGAUGACGGCCUUCGGGUUGUAAACUCCUUUCGCUAGGGACGAAGCGCAAGUGACGGUACCUGGAGAAGAAGCACCGGCUAACUACGUG
rnacentral:rRNA from 1 species